AUGACCAAAAUAAAAAGUCUAGCUGCUAAUGUUUGUCCAACACAAACUGACAAAAGGUUGUUUAAAAUAAUGGCUGAUGGGAAUUUUUAUCCUGGAAAAACUUUAUAGUAACCAGAUACAUUAAUCACGUUCAUUCCUGGAUUCAAGUUAAAAAUAGCUUUCCCAAGGGAGGAUAUUUUGAAUGCCUGUGUAACAUUACUAAAUAAAGCAUCCCUUCUCUACCAGCUGCAGGAGGUGUUUCUUUUUAUUCUUUAUGUCUUAGUUUCUUUUUUUUUAAUUCCUAGUCUAGCUGUAUUUAGAUUUGAAGUUGUUUUAUAUUUAUUUUAUAUGGUUUUUUAUCACCUCAAUUAAAAUCCUUAGAACCCGAUGAGUGAGUUUCAGGAUUCAGAUUACUUUCAUGUUUAAUUGAGGAAAAUUUUGAAACGCAUUUCAAAUGUGGAGAACACCUCGAAAUCAUUGGUUCUCAAGUGAGGCUACUUUUGGUUGUCCCAGCAGUGACACUGAGGGGUGCUACUAGCAUCAACGAGGUAUGUCUAGGGAUGCUACUCAACAUCCUACCACACAUAGGAUACCCUGCCCAACAAAUGCCUUACCUAAAAUAUCCAUAUGCUGAGAUCUAUUCCAAAAUAUGUGUUCUAUAUUCUAUUCAUUUUUUUUGCUUCUAUCAAUUUGACA
rnacentral:lncRNA from 1 species